rnacentral:rRNA from 1 species
AUACGUAGGUGACAAGCGUUAUCCGGAUUUACUGGGCGUAAAGGGCGUGUAGGCGGUCUUGCGAGUCAGAAGUGAAAUUCCUGAGCUCAACUCGGGCGCUGCUUCUGAAACUGCAGGACUUGAGUGCUGGAGGGGAUAGCGGAAUUCCUAGUGGAGCGGUAAAAUGCGCAGAUAUUAGGAAGAACACCGGUGGCGAAGGCGGCUAUCUGGACAGUAACUGACGCUGAGGCGCGAAAGCGUGGGGAGCAAACAGGAUUAGAUACCCUGGUAGUCCACGCCAUAACGAUGAAUACUAGGUGUAGGGGGUAUCGACCCCCUCUGUGCCGACGUUAACACAUUAAGUAUUCCACCUGGGGAGUACGGCCGCAAGGCUGAAACUCAAAUGAAUUGACGGGG